rnacentral:rRNA from 1 species
AGUGAACGCUGGCGAUAGGCCUAACACAUGCAAGUCGAACGGCAGCACAGUAAGAGCUUGCUCUUACGGGUGGCGAGUGGCGGACGGGUGAGGAAUACAUCGGAAUCUACUUUUUCGUGGGGGAUAACGUAGGGAAACUUACGCUAAUACCGCAUACGACCUACGGGUGAAAGCAGGGGAUCUUCGGACCUUGCGCGAUUGAAUGAGCCGAUGUCGGAUUAGCUAGUUGGCGGGGUAAAGGCCCACCGAGGCGACGAUCCGUAGCUGGUCUGAGAGGAUGAUCAGCCACACUGGAACUGAGACACGGUCCAGACUCCUACGGGAGGCAGCAGUGGGGAAUAUUGGACAAUGGGCGCAAGCCUGAUCCAGCCAUACCGCGUGGGUGAAGAAGGCCUUCGGGUUGUAAAGCCCUUUUGUUGGGAAAGAAAAGCAGCAGGUUAAUACCCCGCUGUUCUGACGGUACCCAAAGAAUAAGCACCGGCUAACUUCGUG